UGGGAAUUUUGGACAAUGGGCGAAAGCCUGAUCCAGCAAUGCCGCGUGUGUGAAGAAGGCCUUCGGGUUGUAAAGCACUUUUGUCCGGAAAGAAAUCCUUGGCUCUAAUACAGUCGGGGGAUGACGGUACCGGAAGAAUAAGCACCGGCUAACUACGUGCCAGCAGCCGCGGUAAUACGUAGGGUGCAAGCGUUAAUCGGAAUUACUGGGCGUAAAGCGUGCGCAGGCGGUUUGCUAAGACCGAUGUGAAAUCCCCGGGCUCAACCUGGGAACUGCAUUGGGUGACUGGCAGGCUAGAGUAUGGCAGAGGGGGGUAGAAUUCCACGUGUAGCAGUGAAAUGCGUAGAGAUGUGGAGGAAUACCGAUGGCGAAGGCAGCCCCCUGGGCCAAUACUGACGCUCAUGCACGAAGGCGUGGGGAGCAAACAGGAUUAGAUACCCUGGUAGUCCACGCCCUAAACGAUGUCAACUAGUUGUUGGGGAUUCAUUUCCUUAGUAACGUAGCUAACGCGUGAAGUUGACCGCCUGGGGAGUACGGUCGCAAGAUUAAAACUUAAAUGAAUUG
rnacentral:rRNA from 1 species